UUCAUUAAAUGUACUAUCUGUGAAGUGUGUAACCAUUACACACUUUGCGUUGAAAACUAAAAUAGUGUGUAUUCGCAAAAAGGCAUUAUACACACUUUUUUGGAAAGUAAUGAUCUUGGAAUAAACAGAAAAAAAGUGUGUAAGAACUCGAAAAGUUUAAAAAAGCACGUGAUGUGAAGAACAUGCAAAUGAGAACAUU